rnacentral:rRNA from 1 species
AACGAACGCUGGCGGCAGGCCUAACACAUGCAAGUCGAGCGAGACCUUCGGGUCUAGCGGCGGACGGGUGAGUAACGCGUGGGAACGUGCCCUUUGGUUCGGAAUAGCCCCGGGAAACUGGGAGUAAUACCGGAUAAGCCCUACGGGGGAAAGAUUUAUCGCCAAAGGAUCGGCCCGCGUUGGAUUAGGUAGUUGGUGGGGUAAUGGCCUACCAAGCCGACGUUCCAUAGCUGGUUUGAGAGGAUGAUCAGACACAAUGGGACUGAGACACGGCCCAGACUCCUACGGGAGGCAGCAGUGGGGAAUCUUAGACAAUGGGGGAAACCCUGAUCUAGCCAUGCCGCGUGAGCGAUGAAGGCCUUAGGGUUGUAAAGCUCUUUCAGUGGGGAAGAUAAUGACUGUACCCACAGAAGAAGCCCCGGCUAACUCCGUGCCAGCAGCCGCCGUAACAC